rnacentral:rRNA from 3 species
UGACCUCAAAUCAGGUAGGACUACCCGCUGAACU